UUUCAAAAUUAAGUCAGAAAAUAAACUUUUAGAAGCAGAAACAUUUUCUUGAACAAAUUCUCUAGAGCUUGUUCCAAAAGAAGGGAAGAAGUAGGCGUUGUCAAUAGUUCACAUAAAUAUUCACAAAGAGUAGAGUUUCUGCUGUUACACCUGCUAUUGCUGAUGUAAGUACUAAAAACUUCAGGAAGUUCUUUUGCUUUUUGGUACCUCAGAAUGAUCAUACGGUCUUGUCACAGAACAACGUGGAAAAACAUUUAAACAGAAAGUUUUUAACAAAAGCGCUAAAUAUAAUCAGAGCUCGCUUCAAACCUUUUGCUUGGUUUAAUCUCUUCCUUAUAAAACAAGCGCUCUAACCACUGCGCCACGGCCGCAUAAUUGAUUUUUUAUUGCUGAAAAAUAAACUGAUUGCUCUAAAGGUUUUAAAUCAAGAUGCGUAAACUUUAGGUUUUUUAAGAAGACCUAACGGUCUUGAAAGAGAGCACAUCUGCAUUCUAUUAUGUUUUAUAUGUCUAUUUACGUCCAAGUAUUUUGAUUAAUUUUGGUGUAAUCAUACCUGUUCUUCCCCCUUUUAUAAC